rnacentral:misc_RNA from 1 species
AAAAUGCGAUAAGUAAUGUGAAUUGCAGAAUUCAGUGAAUCAUCGAAUCUUUGAACGCACAUUGCGCCCGCCAGUAUUUUGGCGGGCAUGCCUGUUCGAGCGUCAUUUCAACCCUCAAGCCCCCGGGUUUGGUGUUGGGGAUUGGGCUGCGGUUCUACCGCGUCCCGGCCCCGAAAUCUAGUGGCGGUCUCGCUGCAGCCUCCAUUGCGUAGUAGCUAACACCUCGCAACUGGAACGCGGCGCGGCCAAGCCGUUAAACCCCCAACUUCUGAAUGUUGACCUCGGAUCAGGUAGGAAUACCCGCUGAACUUAAGC